UACUGUGUCUGUUAAACAGCAGGUGGAAAAAGGGAGUGAGCUAAAGUCCCUUUCUCAGCUGCAGAAGUAUUGUGUUUCACAGAGCAAAGCAAGCCUUUGCAUGGUAUAUACCAAACAGAAAACUAAGCCUACCAUUAAUUUGUUUCUAAUCCUUGUUUCUGGGAAACUGUCAGAGAUUUCUCAUCAGAGGUUAACUGAAUUUUGGUAGGGUGUGCUAUUGUCUUUUUCUGUGCCUUUGUAUGGAUUAUUGUGAGAAGGUGGGAGAGACUGCACUAGGGGAUUCUAUUCAGAUACCUUCUUAAGCUGAGUCCAAAGUGCAUUUAGUUCAUAAUGCAUUUUCCAUUUUUUAUUAAUCAAAAAAAUGUAUUGAACGAACAUUAAAAAACAUAGCAACUGCAAAGAGCAGUUUUGAAAGGCCAGGAUUUGCUGCUUUUGGUAGCUUAUGCAGUGUUAUCAUGUGAAUAAGUUUACUGUUCCAUUAUAAUUUUGCAGAAAUUACAUAUACUUCUUAGUCCUCCAUUAUUACUUUUAAAGUUUGCUGUUGGAGAAAUAGCACUUGAAUUCUCCAAGCCAGCCUGUGGAAUAAUGGGUCAAAAUAGCUGCCAGGACUAGUUGUUGAAUCUUUGGAAAAAUGAUAGUUACUUUCAAAGAUGCUAUUUUUUCCAUAGUUGUCUUAUCUCU
rnacentral:lncRNA from 1 species